GUGAGGGAGGCUCUUGCAGGGAAGACGCCAGAGGAGUUGAGACAUUAAAACAAAGAGGCUGAACUCCAGCAUGAUAAAGCCUGGGAGUGUCUGGGAUGUGGAUUCCCUACUGAAGGGAGGAGAGACACUGAAGCUCAUCACUAGCUGUCAGAGGAGAGCUCAUUCAGACCUUGCUUAAAAAUAAUAAUUUGAAUUAUAAGGUUGGCCAACAUUGCCGAAAUGAAUGCGCCGACAUUGUUAGAAAAAACAAUAGCGGUGUGAGGAAGCUGGUCUUUGUUUGUAUUUUUCACACUUAUUAUACUUUCUCAGGAGGAGAACCAAAGCUUUCUACUGACCCUGUGGAAGAAGAUUAUCAGCAGCUGGAUUUGGUGGUUCCACCGGUGGUAAUAAGACUGUCCGUACCUCUGGAUGACGCUAUCACUCAGAUAUCCCUAUCCCCCACCAGAUGACCAUAUGCAGUUCCAGGAACUGUUGUUUAGGGUUGAAGCGGAGUUCUAGAUCUCCCUAGAGGAAGUCCACGAUCCACAGCAUAACCUCUUGGAUAUCUUACAACUUUUGGGAUUUGGGUGAAUAGUGCUUUCUGUUAAUGAAGCCAUA